rnacentral:rRNA from 1 species
UUNCGAUGGUAGGAUAGAGGCCUACCCAUGGUGGUAACGGGUAACGGGGUGUUAGGGCACGACACCGGAGAGGGAGCCUGAGAAACGGCUACCACAUCCAAGGAUGNGCAGCAGGCGCGCAAAUUACCCAAUCCCGACACGGGGAGGUAGUGACAAUAAAUAACAAUACGGGGUUCUUUAGGAUCUCGUAAUUGGAAUGAGUACAAUUUAAAUCUCUUAACGAGGAACAAUUGGAGGGCAAGUCUGGUGCCAGCAGCCGCGGUAAUUCCAGCUCCAAUAGCGUAUAUUAAAGUUGUUGCAGUUAAAAAGCUCGUAGUUGAAUUUCGGGGUUAGUAGGUUGGUCAUGCCUCUGGUAUGUACUGGUCUCACUGAUUCCUCCUUCCUGAUGAGCCGUAAUGCCAUUAAUUUGGUGUUGCGGGGAAUUUGGACUGUUACUUUGAAAAAAUUAGAGUGUUUAAAGCAAGCUAACGCUUGAAUACAUUAGCAUGGAAUAAUGAAAUAGGACGUUCGAUCCUAUUUUGUUGGUUUCUAGGAUUGACGUAAUGAUUAAUAGGGAUAGUUGGGGGCAUUAGUAUUCAAUUGUCAGAGGUGAAAUUCUUGGAUUUAUUGAGGACUAACUACUGCGAAAGCAUUUGCCAAGGAUGUUUUCAUUAAUCAAGAACGAAAGUUAGGGGAUCGAAGACGAUCAGAUACCGUCGUAGUCUUAACCAUAAACUAUGCCGACUAGGGAUCGGAUGAUGUUAAUUUUUUAAUGACUCAUUCGGCGCCUUACGGGAAACCAAGUGUUUUGG